rnacentral:tRNA from 2 species
GGUAGAAUGGCUGAGACUUAGGCGAUAAAUUGUAAAUUUAUUAAGGAGAAGAAGUUCUCUUCUACCA